rnacentral:tRNA from 1 species
GGUUGUGGCUCAGUGGUAGAGCUCUCGCUUGGCAGGUGUGAAGCACUGGGUUCAAUCCUCACCACCA